GAUGAACGCUAGCGAUAGGCUUAACACAUGCAAGUCGAGGGGCAGCAUUUGAUCAGCUUGCUGAUUAAGAUGGCGACCGGCGGAUGGGUGAGUAACGCGUAUGCAAUCUACCUUCAAACGGAGGAUAGCCCGAAGAAAUUCGGAUUAAUACUCCAUAAUAUUUACGAACUGCAUGGUUUGUAUCUUAAAGAUUUAUUGUUUGGAGAUGAGCAUGCGUUCCAUUAGCUUGUUGGUAAGGUAACGGCUUACCAAGGCAACGAUGGAUAGGGGAGCUGAGAGGUUUAUCCCCCACACUGGUACUGAGACACGGACCAGACUCCUACGGGAGGCAGCAGUGAGGAUCUUGGUCAAUGAGCGAGAGCUUGAACCAGCCAAGUCGCGUGAAGGAUGACGGCCUUAUGGGUUGUAAACUUCUUUUAUACAGGAAUUAAAGUUUUGUACGUGUACUAAUUUUGUAUGUACUGUAUGAAUAAGCAUCGGCUAACUUCGUGCC
rnacentral:rRNA from 1 species